rnacentral:rRNA from 1 species
UACGUAGGGGCAAGCGUUAUCCGGAUUUACUGGGUGUAAAGGGAGCGUAGGUGGCAAAGUAAGUCAGAUGUGAAAGCCCGUGGCUUAACUGCGGGAUUGCAUCAGAAACUGCUUUGCUAGAGUGCAGGAGAGGUAAGUGGAAUUCCUAGUGUAGCGGUGAAAUGCGUAGAUAUUAGGAGGAACAUCAGUGGCGAAGGCGGCUUACUGGACUGUAACUGACGCUGAGGCACGAAAGCGUGGGGAGCAAACAGGAUUAGAUA